CAGCAGGCGCGAAACCUUUACACUGCACGCCAGUGCGAUAAGGGGAUCCCAAGUGCGUAGGCAUAGAGCCUACGCUUUUGUCCACCCUAGGGUGGUGGACGAAUAAGGGCUGGGCAAGACCGGUGCCAGCCGCCGCGGUAAUACCGGCAGCCCAAGUGAUGGCCGAUCUUAUUGGGCCUAAAGCGUCCGUAGCUGGCCGCACAAGUCCAUCGGGAAAUCCACCUGCUCAACAGGUGGGCGUCCGGUGGAAACUGUGUGGCUUGGGACCGGAAGGCGCGACGGGUACGUCCGGGGUAGGAGUGAAAUCCUGUAAUCCUGGACGGACCGCCGAUGGCGAAAGCACGUCGCGAAAACGGAUCCGACAGUGAGGGACGAAAGCUAGGGUCUCGAACCGGAUUAGAUACCCGGGUAGUUCCUAGCCGUAAACACUGCCUGCUAGGUGUGGCACCCACUACGAGUUGCGUGCCUGUCGCGUAGCGAAGCCCGU
rnacentral:rRNA from 1 species